CAGUAGCCGCGGGAAUACGUAGGUGGCAAGCGUUGUCCGGAAUUAUUGGGCGUAAAGGGCUCGCAGGCGGUUUCUUAGGUCUGAUGUGAAAGCCCCCGGCUCAACCGGGGAGGGUCAUUGGAAACUGGGAAACUUGAGUGCAGAAGAGGAGAGUGGAAUUCCACGUGUAGCGGUGAAAUGCGUAGAGAUGUGGAGGAACACCAGUGGCAAAGGCGACUCUCUGGUCUGUAACUGACGCUGAGGAGCGAAAGCGUGGGGAGCGAACGGGAUUAGAUACCCCCGUAGUCCCUGUCUCUUAUAC
rnacentral:rRNA from 1 species